ensembl:lncRNA
GCAAGCACCGGAGCCCAGCUCUCCAGACCUGACCAUCCCUCCUCCUCCCUCAGGCCCGGGUGGGGCCUCCUCCCCCAAACGGAGCGCUGGUUCAGCACUCAUCUAGAGAGAUCCAAGGUGCUUCGAGGACACAAUGGAUUAUCCAGCUCAGACCGGAGGAGGCUAGGAAAGCCCUCGAGACUGGGAGGAAACGGAACCCUGUUGCCGAGGCACCCUCCAAGCCUCCGGCCCUUUGCGGGGCGAGCCUGGCUGCGGGCUACAAGUCCCAAAUCCGGCCGUACGGGCCCACAGUAAGUCGGAAACAAGUGCUCGCAGGUCCCCGCUUUGCUUUGGGUUUCAUUGUUUCUUAGUGCAAAUCAAUUCACUUAGGACUCCCCGCUGAUCUGAGAGUUUAAAAAGGGCGCUUCUGUGCUGACGGGCUGGAGGGAAAGUGGUUUCCCUAGAGGUUGGGGUCAAGGGUAGGAGAGAAGAGGUAGACUUGGCCUGGAGUCAUCAUGCCGUCUGUGGAGUCGCACAGAGUCGGACACGACUGAGGUGACUUAGCAGCAGCAGCAGCAUGACCCGGCUUUAAAAACGGGUUCCUCAUUUUACACACCGGUCGCAAGAUCAAAGAGCGGCGGAGCGGAGUGCCACUGCUAGCCUUGGAAUGAGGCUAUGUUUAACCUCCGCCCUCAACAGUGGCCAGUGGGCAACCCGGGGCCUUGAGGCCUCCCUGGGGCACGCGACCAUUGCAGGGAACGUCCAAGUUGAGACCCGUUGGAGGCUCGUGACGGCUUCCGCUGAACCUGGGCCGCUCCCACAUCACGAUCGGGAAUUUCUCCAGCUUAACUAUAGACGGAAACGCCAUUUGGGAACUACGACUUGGCGGGCCCUGGCGACCCGCCUCGGCUCCCAGGAGCCCAGGCUUGCCCGAAGUAGUCCAGGACUCUCUUUAAACCGAGCCGCCUCACAGGCAUGGGGUUCUAUCAGCAUAGCCCGAGGGCCGGAAAACUGGACGUGAACCAAAAAAGCCUGGAGAACCACACAGACCACAGAGGAUCUGGGAGGAUCAGACGCGGCCAACGGGCCUUCUCCGCCUCCUUCCCACCAGGUGAACGGUUUAACCCUCCACUGC